rnacentral:lncRNA from 1 species
GUUAACGCGUGAAGCUAACAAUGAGAAGGGAGAAACCAUUUCCCCACCCAUUUCAACACUCAAUAAGGAGAAAACCCUUCCCUCCAAGCCCCACUAUCGCCUUAGUCGGAGGUACACUGACAACAUUUUCACCGUCGGUCGUCAAUAUUUCCGAAGUUUGUACCCAGUUUUCCCAAAUCACACACUUUCUGUUGGAGUAUUGCAUUACACAUUGACAACAUGGAAUUAAAAAGAAGAGAACAAAAGUCGAAGAUAGAAGAAUAGCCUGCUGGGAAGACAAUUUAGUUACUUUCUGUUAUACUAGUUGGAAGAGUAGUUCGUUUUUGUUGUUCUAGCUGGAAGAGGAGUUAGUUACUUUCAGUUCUUUUUGUUAGUUCAGUUCAAUGUAUUCUGGUGUCAAGUUGUAGUAUAAAUAUAGCCCAAGUCCGCUGUAAACAAUAAUUUUCAGAAUUUCAUUUCAGUUCAUUGAUGAAAUUGAAUUUUCUUCUUCACGUUUUUUUCCCAUUGUAUUCCACCUUGAUCUUGAGCUUGAAUCCAUCUGAUUCUCAAGAUGGUAUUAGAGCUUUAAUUCAUCAAAUCAACGAUUCCGCAACAUUAUCUUCUUGAAUUGGUG